AAGACCUUGCACUUUUGGAGCGGCCGAUGUCUGAUUAGCUAGUUGGUGGGGUAAUGGCCUACCAAAGCUUCGAUCAGUAGCUGGUCUGAGAGGACGGCCAGCCACACUGGGACUGAGACACGGCCCAGACUCCUACGGGAGGCAGCAGUGGGGAAUUUUGGACAAUGGGCGCAAGCCUGAUCCAGCCAUGCCGCGUGAGUGAAGAAGGCCUUCGGGUUGUAAAGCUCUUUCAGCCGGGAAGAAAAGGUUGCGACUAAUAAUCGCAAUCCAUGACGGUACCGAAAGAAGAAGCACCGGCUAACUACGUGCCAGCAGCCGCGGUAAUACGUAGGGUGCGAGCGUUAAUCGGAAUUACUGGGCGUAAAGGGUGCGCAGGCGGUUUUGUAAGUCAGAUGUGAAAUCCCCGGACUUAACCUGGGAACU
rnacentral:rRNA from 1 species